UACAGAGGGUGCGAGCGUUGUCCGGAAUCACUGGGCGUAAAGGGCGCGUAGGCGGAUGGUACAGUCAGACGUGAAAUUCCUGGGCUCAACCUGGGGGCUGCGUUUGAUACGUGCUGUCUGGAGUUCGGAAGAGGGUCGUGGAAUUCCCAGUGUAGAGGUGAAAUUCGUAGAUAUUGGGAAGAACACCGGUGGCGAAGGCGGCGACCUGGUCCGAUACUGACGCUGAGGCGCGAAAGCGUGGGGAGCAAACAGGGAUU
rnacentral:rRNA from 1 species